rnacentral:rRNA from 1 species
AAGAAGCACCGGCUAACUCCGUGCCAGCAGCCGCGGUAAUACGGAGGGUGCAAGCGUUAAUCGGAAUUACUGGGCGUAAAGCGCGCGUAGGCGGUUUGUUAAGUCGGAUGUGAAAUCCCCGGGCUCAACCUGGGCACUGCAUCCGAUACUGGCUGACUAGAGUGUGGGAGAGGAAGGUAGAAUUCCAGGUGUAGCGGUGAAAUGCGUAGAGAUCUGGAGGAAUACCGAUGGCGAAGGCAGCCUUCUGGCCUGACACUGACGCUGAGGUGCGAAAGCAUGGGGAGCAAACAGGAUUAGAUACCCUGGUAGUCCAUGCCGUAAACGAUGUCAACUAGCCGUUGGGGACCUUGAGUCUUUAGUGGCGCAGCUAACGCGAUAAGUUGACCGCCUGGGGAGUACGGCCGCAAGGUUAAAACUCAAAUGAAUUGACGGGG